rnacentral:rRNA from 1 species
AGUAACGCGUGGUCAACCUUCCCUACAGUGGGGAUAACUAGCCGAAAGGUUAGCUAAUACCGCAUGACAUCUUGAGAGGCAUCUUUUAAAGAUAAAAGGAGCAAUCCGCUGAAGGACGGGACCGCGUCCCAUUAGCUAGUUGGUGGGGUAAUGGCCUACCAAGGCAACGAUGGGUAGCUGGUUUGAGAGAGCGACCAGCCACACUGGGACUGAGACACGGCCCAG